UGGGGAAUUUUCCGCAAUGGGCGAAAGCCUGACGGAGCAACGCCGCGUGAGGGAUGAAGGCCUCUGGGCUGUAAACCUCUUUUAUCAAGGAAGAAGAUCCGACGGCACUUGAUGAAUAAGCCACGGCUAAUUCCGUG
rnacentral:rRNA from 1 species